GUGACACGGAAGGUAAGACAGAGCCGGGAAUGAGAAAACCGGUGCAAGCACAAUAGAUGUGUGGGAGGAAAAUCCCCCGCAUAAGUCAAAGGUGUGAUGCGGACCGAAAAAGAGUAGGGAAGCUGUUAAGCAAGCCGUCAAGAAAAGCUGCUAUUGUUUCAUUAUGGCCCGUACCGUAAACCGACACAGGUGGAUGGGGAGAGAAUCCUAAGGCCGGCGGAAGAAGUAUUGUUAAGGAACUCGGCAAAAUGACCCCGUAACUUCGGGAGAAGGGGUGCCUGCGAGAGCAGGCCGCAGAGAAGAGGCCCAAGCAACUGUUUAGCAAAAACACAGGUCUAUGCAAAACCGAAAGGUGAGGUAUAUGGGCUGACGCCUGCCCGGUGCUGGAAGGUUAAGGGGAGUGGUCAGGAAAGCUACGAACUUAAGCCCCAGUAAACGGCGGCCGUAACAAUAACGGUCCUAAGGUAGCGAAAUUCCUUGUCGGGUAAGUUCCGACCCGCACGAAAGGCGUAAUGAUUUGGGCGCUGUCUCGACAAUACAUCCGGUGAAAUUGAAGUGCCAGUGAAGAUGCUGGCUACCUGCGCCAGGACGGAAAGACCCCAUGGAGCUUUACUCCAGCUUGAUACUGGGACCCGGUAUUGCAUGUACAGGAUAGGUGGGAGGCUAGGAAAUGUGGACGCCAGUCUGCAUGGAGCCGCUGUUGGGAUACCACCCUUGUGGUGCUGGGUUUCUAACCAGAGGCCGUGAACCGGUCUGGGGACAAUGUCAGGUGGGGAGUUUGACUGGGGCGGUCGCCUCCGAAAGGGUAUCGGAGGCGCCCAAAGGUUCCCUCAGAAUGGUUGGAAACCAUUCGAAGAGUGCAAAGGCAGAAGGGAGCUUGACUGCGACACCGACGGGUGGAGCAGGUACGAAAGUAGGGCUUAGUGAUCCGGUGGAAUUUAAGUGGGAAUGCCAUCGCUCAACGGAUAAAAGCUACCCUGGGAUAACAGGCUGAUCACUCCCAAGAGUUCACAUCGACGGAGUGGUUUGGCACCUCGAUGUCGGCUCAUCGCAUCCUGGGGCUGAAGUCGGUCCCAAGGGUUGGGCUGUUCGCCCAUUAAAGCGGUACGCGAGCUGGGUUCAGAACGUCGUGAGACAGUUCGGUCCCUAUCCGGCGUGGGCGUAGGAUAUCUGAGAGGAGCUGUCCUUAGUACGAGAGGACCGGGAUGGACUGACCUCUGGUGUACCGGUUGGCGAUCAACGCCACGGCCGGGUAGCCAUGUCGGGACGGGAUAAACGCUGAAGGCAUCUAAGCGUGAAGCCCCCCUCAAGAUGAGAUAUCCCAUCGUAAGAGUAAGACCCCUUGAAGACGACGAGGUUGAUAGGGCAGGGGUGGAAGUGCUGUAAGGCAUGGAGCUGACUGCUACUAAUCGGUCGAGGGCUUGAUCAA
rnacentral:rRNA from 1 species